rnacentral:rRNA from 1 species
ACUCAAAUGAAUAGACGGGGGCUCACACAAGCGGUGGAGCAUGUGGCUUAAUUCGAGGCUACGCGAAGAACCUUAUCCUGGGCUUGACAUGUGCGAAAGCGGAGGGAAGUAGGGUGCGGAAACGUUCCCCCAACGGUAUCCAGUCCGGAACCCUCUACAGGUGCUGCAUGGCUGUCGUCAGCUCGUGUCGUGAGAUGUCGGGUUAAGUCCCAUAACGAGCGAAACCCCUGUCCUUAGUUGCCAGCAGUUCGGCUGGGGACUCUAGGGAGACUGCCGGUGUUAAACCGGAGGAAGGUGGGGAUGACGUCAAGUCCUCAUGGCCUUGAUGCCCAGGGCUGCACACGUGCUACAAUGGCCGGCACAAAGGGACGCCAACGCGCAAGCGGGAGCCAAUCCCAAAAAACCGGCCCCAGUUCAGAUCGAAGGCUGCAACUCGCCUUCGUGAAGUUGGAAUCGCUAGUAAUCGCGGGUCAGCAACACCGCGGUGAAUGUGUUCCUGAGCCUUGCACACACCGCCCGU